rnacentral:tRNA from 1 species
AAAAACAUAGUUUAAACAAAACAAUUAAUUUACACUUAAUAAUUCCCUAUGGGUGUUUUUA